rnacentral:rRNA from 1 species
AGAUUGAACGCUGGCGGCAUGCUUUACACAUGCAAGUCGAACGGUAACAGGCCGCAAGGUGCUGACGAGUGGCGAACGGGUGAGUAAUGUAUCGGAACGUGCCCAGUCGUGGGGGAUAACGCAGCGAAAGCUGCGCUAAUACCGCAUACGAUCUAUGGAUGAAAGCGGGGGACCGUAAGGCCUCGCGCGAUUGGAGCGGCCGAUAUCAGAUUAGGUAGUUGGUGGGGUAAAGGCUCACCAAGCCAACGAUCUGUAGCUGGUCUGAGAGGACGACCAGCCACACUGGGACUGAGACACGGCCCAGACUCCGUACGGGACGGCAGCAGGU